rnacentral:rRNA from 1 species
UACGUAGGGUGCAAGCGUUAAUCGGAAUUACUGGGCGUAAAGCGUGCGCAGGCGGUUUUGUAAGUCUGUCGUGAAAUCCCCGGGCUCAACCUGGGAAUUGCGAUGGAGACUGCAAGGCUAGAAUCUGGCAGAGGGGGUAGAAUUCCACGUGUAGCAGUGAAAUGCGUAGAGAUGUGGAGGAACACCGAUGGCGAAGGCAGCCCCCUGGGUCAAGAUUGACGCUCAUGCACGAAAGGCGUGGGGAGCAAACAGGAUUACGAAACC